rnacentral:rRNA from 1 species
UACGUAGGGUGCAAGCGUUGUCCGGAAUUAUUGGGCGUAAAGAGCUUGUAGGCGGUUUGUCGCGUCUGCUGUGAAAUUUCGGGGCUCAACCCCGAACUUGCAGUGGGUACGGGCAGACUGGAGUGUGGUAGGGGAGACUGGAAUUCCUGGUGUAGCGGUGAAAUGCGCAGAUAUCAGGAGGAACACCGAUGGCGAAGGCAGGUCUCUGGGCCAUAACUGACGCUGAGAAGCGAAAGCAUGGGGAGCGAACAGG